UACGUAGGGUGCGAGCGUUGUCCGGAAUUACUGGGCGUAAAGAGCUCGUAGGUGGUUUGUCGCGUUGUUCGUGAAAACUCACAGCUCAACUGUGGGCGUGCGGGCGAUACGGGCAGACUGGAGUACUGCAGGGGAGACUGGAAUUCCUGGUGUAGCGGUGGAAUGCGCAGAUAUCAGGAGGAACACCGGUGGCGAAGGCGGCUCUCUGGGACGGUACUGACGCUGAGACGCGAAAGCGUGGGGAGCGAACAGG
rnacentral:rRNA from 1 species